rnacentral:lncRNA from 1 species
UUUUCUCUCCACUUUGGCUUGACAUGUGGAUACAUGAGGCCAGUAGGAAGAAGUCACCCAUGACUAUCUGGAACAACAUUGUGGGGAAGGCCAAGUUUCUGUGGUGACGUGUGGCAAAUGGAUUGUAAAUGAAGAUAGACUGUGUAAUGAAUGACGACACUAAAGACUAAUGUGAAGGACUUUAGGGAAAACAAAAGGCUUUCAUCUGAAAGGAUGAUCUGUGGACCAAGGUCACUCAUACCACUCACUGCUCAUUUUCUCAUGUUAUUUUAAAACUUUUUUCGGCCUUUAUACUGCUUUCAGCAGCAUUUGUGUGUAAGAAGUGGACGAUGACUUUAAUAAAGAGACCCGA